rnacentral:lncRNA from 10 species
GAGCUGGUGAUGGUGCUUGCUGGGCUUAUGAAGUGCAGCUGUGUCCUCUCUUGCUCUGUAACACCCUCUCUGCCAGAAACAGCUCAGCAGGAAGGCAGCGGGGCACCUUGGAAACGUGCCCCUGGGCCCCACCUUACAGCCUCUGCUCCGCUCCCUUCGCGGCAGAGUGGUUCAGGAACAGUCUGCAGCCUCCUGCCAGGAGGCCAGGAAAAGCCACUCCUGGCCCUGGGCAGCUAUGAGGCUCUUGGUGGAUCUCAGAACUCUGUGGGGGCCAGAGGGCUGAGUGAGUCAGGCUGUGGAGGGCAGGCACCAUCCACACUCCCAGACACUUUGGGUUAUAGUCUCUCUCUUCCUUGAUUAGAAGAGGCCUGGGAACUUCAGCUGGCGACUCUGGUGUUUCUGACUUUGGCUAUCAGCAAACACUGCUGGAGGCUCUGCCCCGUCCACACCCAGCUUCUGUGAGCACGGAGGAGGCAUAAUCUGCAAAGUCUGACACAGGCCAUGCCUAACCAUCCUUGACUGGCUACCUCCAGUGACAUAAAACUGAGAAGCAAAGACACCCAGGAGGCAAGGCUGCAGUCAUUUAGGAGAGUGGACGGAUGCCAGGGCUGUGCUGCCUGCAGCCUUUGUGGGGCUCAGUGACCAGAGGAGCAGCCCAUGCCAAGCCUAGUCCCCAGGGAUGCUGCCUGCGGUGCUCACGCAUCUUAUACAGGGACACAGAGGAACUCUGGGCUCCACCCUGCAGCCUCUGCUCCAGCACGCGGUGGUCCCAGGAGAUGUAGAACCAGCCCUUCCUCUGCAGUUGCACUGGAGAUAGAGUCCUGUCAUGUUACCCUGGCUGAUAUUGAACUCCUGGGCUUAAGCAUCCCACUUGCCUCAGCUUCCCAAAGUGUUGGGAUUGUAGGCAUGAGUCACCAUGCCCAGCUGCUUACACAAUUUCUGAGGAGAAGUCAGAUGUGAUUCUUAUCCGUGCUCCUCCACAGUGAGAAGGUGGCUGUCUGCAAGCCAGGAAGAGGGCCCUCACCAGAACCCAACUCAGCUGGUACCGUCUGCAGCUUCCAAACUCCAGAACUGUGAGAAAUAAAUGUGUGUUGUUAUUAAA